GAUGAACGCUGGCGGCGUGCCUAAUACAUGCAAGUCGAGCGAACAGACGAGGAGCUUGCUCCUCUGACGUUAGCGGCGGACGGGUGAGUAACACGUGGAUAACCUACCUAUAAGACUGGGAUAACUUCGGGAAACCGGAGCUAAUACCGGAUAAUAUAUUGAACCGCAUGGUUCAAUAGUGAAAGACGGUUUUGCUGUCACUUAUAGAUGGGUCCGCGCCGCAUUAGCUAGUUGGUAAGGUAACGGCUUACCAAGGCAACGAGGCGUAGCCGGCCUGAGAGGCUGAGAAGGGACAAAGGGAAGGAGAACCGGCCCAGAAUCGGACGGGAGGCCGGAGUGGGGAAUAAUGGACAAGGGGGGAAAGAAUGAUAUAGAAAGGCCGCGUGAGAGAUGAAGGCGUUAGGGUAGGAAAGAUCUUUUAACCGGGAUGAUAAUGACAGUACCGGGAGAAUAAGCUACGGCUAACUCCGUG
rnacentral:rRNA from 1 species